GAUGAACGCUGACAGAAUGCUUAACACAUGCAAGUCUUUGGCGAAGCUGUGCUUGCACAGCCUAGCCAAGGCGGACGGGUGAGUAACGCGUAAGGGACUUGCCCUGCGGUCAGGGAUAACAGACGGAAACGACUGAUAAAACCUGGUAAAGUCAGGCGGACUCAUGUCCAGCCUGAUGAAAAGGAAUGCUGCAGGAGAGCCUUGCGUCCUAUUAGCUUGUUGGUGGGGUAACGGCCCACCAAGGCGAUGAUAGGUAGCCGGCCUGAGAGGGUGGACGGCCACAAGGGGACUGAGAUACGGCCCUUACUCCUACGGGAGGCAGCAGUGGGGAAUAUUGGACAAUGGGGGCAACCCUGAUCCAGCAAUUCUGUGUGCACGAUGAAGGUCUUCGGAUUGUAAAGUGCUUUCAGCAGGGAAGAAAAAAAUGACGGUACCUGCAGAAGAAGCGACGGCUAAAUACGUGCCAGCAGCCGCGGUAAUACGUAUGUCGCGAGCGUUAUCCGGAAUUAUUGGGCAUAAAGGGCAUCUAGGCGGCCGGAUAAGUCUGGGGUGAAAACUUGCGGCUCAACCGCAAGCCUGCCCUGGAAACUAUGCGGCUAGAGUGCUGGAGAGGUGGACGGAACUGCACGAGUAGAGGUGAAAUUCGUAGAUAUGUGCAGGAAUGCCGAUGAUGAAGAUAGUUCACUGGACGGCAACUGACGCUGAAGUGCGAAAGCUAGGGGAGCAAACAGG
rnacentral:rRNA from 1 species